CCCUUUAGGAGAUCUCCACAACAUCCAGGGUUGUCAAACCGGAUUACUUCUCGGAGAGACGCAGACACCCGCAGUGAGCCCAGCUACGAGAAUGAGGGUAUAUCAGUCACCACUGGCAGUGGGGGGUUGGGCUGGGACCUUGGGGAGAGGGAGGAAGGAAGGAAUGGGCCUGACUGGACAGGCCUCCCCAGACCACCUACUCUGAUACCUGUGUUUCCCCUGGAGCUAGAACCUGAGGAUGCCGAUGAAGAAGAUGACUACCAUAAUGAAGGCUAUCUUGAGGUUCUACCGGAUGACUGCCCGAAUUCCAACUCUGCACCUCUGUCCAACUCAACACCUAACCUGGUGGU
rnacentral:lncRNA from 1 species